AUGUCCCCCGCGCAGCGCGACAGGUCGGCGAGCUGCGCCAGCAGGCAGCCCAGGGCGUGCGAGCUGACCUGCUCCAGCGAGCGGAAGAGCGGCGCGCCCGCGGCCCCGGCCGCCUCCGGCCGGCGCAGCCGCGCGGGCUCCACGCUCCUCUGGUGGAAGGGCAUGGCGGGGGCCGGGCCGGGCCGGGCCGGGCCGGGCGGGGCGGGGGCCGGGGCGCGGGCCCCAGGCGCGGCUCCAGGCGUGGGCCCCAGGCGCGGGCUCCAGGCGCGGGCCCCAGGCGCGGCUCCAGGCGCGGGCUCCAGGCGCGGGCUCCAGGCGCGGCGGGCCGCCCGGGGCGAGCGCAGCCCUCAGUCCGGCCCCCGUCGGCGCGGGGCGCGAGUGCGCAUCCAACACAAAGGAAAGUCCGGGCAGCGGCGGGGCGCCGGGGAGGAGGCGAGGCGGCGGGCAGGACGGACCGACGGACGCGCGGGCGGGCAGCCGCGGGCAGGGCUCCGCGGGGUCGGAGCCGCGGCCGCCUGGCGCCCUCCCACCGCCGGGGUGCGGGGGCGCGGGGGCGCGGGGGCGCCGGGGCCGCGCGGCGAGAGGCAGUCCCAGGAGCGGCUCCCGGGCGCGGGGCGCGGCGGCCGCGCGGGCGAGCGGAGUCGGGAGUCCCGCUCAAGUUUGCAGGGAGGCAGGAAAGAGCCGGCGGCCCCUUCCCUCCCUCCCGAUUGGAGAGGGAGGAGGAAGCGGGGGAAGUGCCGCCGACACCGGGCGCGAGGGAGGGCAGGCGAAAGAAAGAAAGGGGGAGGAGAAAAGGGCCGGCCCGGGGAACCACCUGCGGCUCCGGCGGCCGCCGCGCCCCGCGCCCCGCGCCCCGCGCCCGAGGGGAGGUGGCGGCCCGCGUCCUCCGCGCCGCCUGCCGCGGCCGCACGGUCCGGGGCUCCCACGUCCCCGCCCGCUUCCCUCCAAGCCCCACGAGCCUUUGGGCCGAGACCUCGCCCGCCCCCGGGCCCGGCGCGCGGAGGGUGGAGCGCCGCGGAGGCGGGGGCGGCGGGGGCGGCGGGGACCGCGAGCCCCUCUCCCGCUGCUCACCUGCGCUCCGGCCCGCGGCGCCCCCGAGUCCCGCGCCCCCCGCCGCGCAGGGACCGCCCCCGGCCUCCCAGGGUCCCCCGGCCCCCCCGGGGAAGUCGGCCAAGGCUUCCGGCGCUGGGGUGCUCCUCUCGGACGACAUCCCACAUCGCACAGGCGCCGGCAGUUCUGGAGGCCAGCGGGAGUCCGGCUGCCCGAGACCCCUGA
rnacentral:lncRNA from 1 species